CAGGGAUUGCCUCAGUAACGGCGAGUGAAGCGGCAACAGCUCAAAUUUGAAAGCUGGCCUUUGGCCCGCGUUGUAAUUUGUAGAGGAUGCUUCGGGUGCAGCGCUGGUCUAAGUUCUUUGGAACAAGACGUCAUGGAGGGUGAGAAUCCCGUAUGUGACUGGCCGCUUGCGCCCAUGUGAAGCUCCUUCGACGAGUCGAGUUGUUUGGGAAUGCAGCUCUAAAUGGGUGGUGUACUUCAUCUAAAGCUAAAUAUUGGCCAAAGACCGAUAGCGCACAAGUAGAGUGAUCGAAAGAUGAAAAGCACUUUGGAAAGAGAGUUAAACAGUACGUGAAAUUGUUGAAAGGGAAGCGCUUGCAAUCAGACUUGCGCGGCGUCGAUCAGCCCGGGUUCUCUCGGGUGCACUCGGUGCCGCUCAGGCCAGCAUCAGUUUUGGCGGCUGGAUAAAGGCCUAGGGAACGUGAGUCGCUUCGGCGACUGUUAUAGCCCUAGGUGCAAUGCAGCCUGCUGGGACUGAGGACCGCGCUUCGGCUAGGAUGCUGGCGUAAUGGUUGUAAGCGACCCGUCUUGAAACACGGACCAAGGAGUUGAGGACUUGUGCGAGUGUUUGGGUGUUAAACCCAUACGCGUAAUGAAAGUGAACGGAGGUGAGAACCCUUGAGGGCGCAUCAUCGACCGAUCCUGAUGUCUUCGGAUGGAUUUGAGUAAGAGCACAGUUCCUCUGACCCGAAAGAUGGUGAACUAUACUUGAAUAGGGUGAAGCCAGAGGAAACUCUGGUGGAGGCUCGCAGCGGUUCUGACGUGCAAAUCGAUCGUCAAAUUUGGGUAUAGGGGCGAAAGACUAAUCGAACCAUUGGGGCUACUCAGGUGGUUGAGAGGCCUGGAGAUCCUCCGGGCCUAGCUGCUGCGGCAGCGACACUGCAAAAUUGCGGGGACCGCUCGACAGACGCAGGCUACCACAGCGCGCUCGAAAGAGCGCGCCACGGUUACAAGGCCUGGCGGCUGAGCCCAUCCGCAACCCGCGCCUACGGCCACCCUUCCCGGGGGUGGCUACGGCGCCGGGCUCAUCGACUGGAUGGCAGUGGGUUUUCUUCUUGGAGGGCUUAAGGGACAGUCAGACCGCGGCGGACACGCUGCGGGGCGAUCG
rnacentral:rRNA from 1 species